GCCGAGGUGGCGGAAUUGGUAGACGCGCUAGCUUCAGGUGCUAGUGUCCGCAAGGGCGUGGAGGUUCAAGUCCUCUCCUCGGCACCA
rnacentral:tRNA from 2 species